UACGUAGGGGGCAAGCGUUGUCCGGAUUUAUUGGGCGUAAAGAGCGUGUAGGCGGUCAGGUAGGUCCGUUGUGAAAACUCGAGGCUCAACCUCGAGACGCCGAUGGAAACCAUCUGACUAGAGUCCGGAAGAGGAGAGUGGAAUUCCUGGUGUAGCGGUGAAAUGCGUAGAUAUCAGGAGGAACACCGAUGGCGAAGGCAGGUCUCUGGGCUGACACUGACGCUCAUGCACGAAAGCGUGGGGAGCAAACAGG
rnacentral:rRNA from 1 species